AUUGAACGCUGGCGGCAGGCCUAACACAUGCAAGUCGAGCGAGCGGCGGACGGGUGAGUAAUGUCUGGGAAACUGCCUGAUGGCGGGGGAUAACUACUGGAAACGGUAGCUAAUACCGCAUACCAUCAGAUGUGCCCAGAUGGGCUUAGUUAGUAGGUGGGGUAACGGCUCACCUAGGCGACGAGCCCUAGCUGGUCUGAGAGGAUGACCAGAGCCCGGUGAACGUAGACACGGUCCAGACGACUACGGGAGGCAUCAGUGGGGAAUAUUGCACAAUGGGCGCAAGCCGGAUGCAGCCAUGCCGCGUGUGGGAAGAAGGCCUUCGGGUUGUAAAGCACUUUCAGCGGGGAGGCGGUACCCGCAGAAGAAGCACCGGCUAACUCCGUGCCAGCAGCCGCGGUAAUUC
rnacentral:rRNA from 1 species